AGGCCAAAUAAAAAAGUAUGUGUGGUUCCAGUUACAUCUGAAAAAAAUAGGGGUGUAGGUAGGGAUUUUUUUAUUUUAUGUUUUUUUUUUACAUUGAGUCUAUGGGAGCAUCAUUCUGACUUUAACAGUGCUUAAUGAAAAAUGACAAUAAAAUCUUUAGGGUAGGCUAUUUUUAAGCCGAAAAAGUAGGGACGGUAGGGUUACUGGAACCACACAUAUAUUUUUAUUUGGCCUAAUGCCAAAACCUGAACAUAAACAAGAAUG
rnacentral:lncRNA from 1 species